rnacentral:miRNA from 1 species
UGUGUGUGUGUGUGUAUGUAUGUGUGUAUAUAUGUAUGUAUAUAUACACACAAACAUACACACACACACACA